ACGACUUCUCAGCUUUUUGGCUAAGAUGAAGAUGUAGUAUCUGUUCUUAUCAGCUUAAUAUCUGAUACAGUCCCUAUUUGGAGCCAUCUAUAUUAAGCUGAUUUUUAGAAUGAUGUGAAGAGUUAGAGGCUUGCGCCACCUUUGCCACUGGUUGGCCUAGUAUUGUAGUACUUCUGGGAUCCAGCCCUUAAUUA
rfam:Octopus bimaculoides Scaffold20736_contig_18, whole genome shotgun sequence.